rnacentral:rRNA from 1 species
AUUGAACGCUGGCGGCAGGCCUAACACAUGCAAGUCGAGCGGAUGAAGGGAGCUUGCUCCUGGAUUCAGCGGCGGACGGGUGAGUAAUGCCUAGGAAUCUGCCUGGUAGUGGGGGAUAACGUCCGGAAACGGGCGCUAAUACCGCAUACGUCCUGAGGGAGAAAGUGGGGGAUCUUCGGACCUCACGCUAUCAGAUGAGCCUAGGUCGGAUUAGCUAGUUGGUGGGGUAAAGGCCUACCAAGGCGACGAUCCGUAACUGGUCUGAGAGGAUGAUCAGUCACACUGGAACUGAGACACGGUCCAGACUCCUACGGGAGGCAGCAGUGGGGAAUAUUGGACAAUGGGCGAAAGCCUGAUCCAGCCAUGCCGCGUGUGUGAAGAAGGUCUUCGGAUUGUAGAGCACUUUAAGUUGGGAGGAAGGGAAGUAAGUUAAUACCUUGCUGUUUUGACGUUACCAACAGAAUAAGCACCGGCUAACUUCGUG